ACCCACUGAGUGACCACUGAGUGACCAUUGACCGCUGAGUGACCAUUGACCGCUGAGUGACCAUUGACCACGGAGUUACCACCUGGGAGUGACCACAGGCUGGCCUGAGAGUGACCACUGAGUGACCACUGAUCACUGAGUGACCACGGGCUGGCCUGAGAAUGACCAUGGAGUGACCACUGACCACUGAGUGACCACCCAGGAAUGGCCACUGACCAACUGACCAUCCAAAAAUGACCGCAGCUGUGGUCACUCAUGGAGAGUGGACAAUACAGAGUGGACAUCGGAAUGGACACUGGGAAUGGACACAGAGUGGACACAGGAGUGGACACUGGAGUGGACAUUGCAGUGGACAUUGGAGUGGACACCGAGUGGACACAGAGUGGACAUUGCAGUGGACCCAG
rnacentral:lncRNA from 1 species